rfam:Rattus norvegicus chromosome 15, whole genome shotgun sequence.
GGGGAUUUAGCUCAGUGGUAGAGCGCCUGCCUAGGAAGCGCAAGGCCCUGGGUUCAGUCCCCAGCUCCG